UUCUGCAAACUCCACCAGUUUCUUUUUCUACAUUGAUAUUGGCUGUGUAUUUGACAUUAUGUUUGGUUUAAUGAAGGUUUUGGUAAUUCUCAUCCUGCAUUGUGUGUGCGGUUUCUGUCUUGACCCACAACAUGAACAUGUCAUGAUUUCCAGGGGAAUGUUUACAAAUAUUUAUAUGUUAAUUUGAAUAAACAUUUAUGUAGCCUAUUCCUUGGAGUGGCAACAAAGCUCAUUUUUAGGAUGGCAGCUGCCACCCCGUCACCCUUGUGGACAUGCCACUGAGUUGAGCUGCUGCGCGUGCAGAAGGAAUCACUCGACCUUCAGUUUUAUGGUCAAUUUUCAGAUGUUGUAGUGUUUCAAGUCCAGGUAAGCAUGAAGAGUCAGAUUCCAGAAGUUACAAUUAAAAGAUUUAUUAGCAUCAUAGGCCAGCAACAAACACAGCCUGCAUGCCACAUGGUUACUCAUAUUGAAUUGUUCUUCUAUACCUUUUAUAGGUACCAACUAUAGUGCUUUCUUCUGGUGAAUCAGUAAUACAAGAACACAACAGAUGUGAGGCGAAAAUAAGCAGUGAUCUCCAAAAGCUCCCAGUCUUCAUUGUGCGUGUGUGUGGUACACCCUCCUCCUCCAGCAUCUCUACCCCUCUUCAACGGAUCCAUUCUUCACUGCCUCCUACUCUAUCACUUAACCCAACUCCCUGCGACAACCUACCACUGGAUCCAGUGCAUGCUCUGCUACCAGCCUCCACUUUUUCCAUGGUCAGGAGAACCCUCGGACGAACCCUCCAUCGACUACUGGUUCCACCAACUCCAAUGGGCCCUACGCAGGUGGAGGAUGACAGUCGACCAUCGCCGAUCCGAGGCCCCUGAAUAGCAGCCCUUUCAGAAGGUCUGGCUGUCCACCCGGGACAUCCGCCUUGCCCUGCCGCAAGUGGAGUCCCAGAUUCAUUGGCCCAUUCAUCAUCCUAGAGCAGUUAAAUCCGGUCACUUUCAUACUUCAACUACCUCAAGAGUACCGGAUUCACCCCACCUUCCAUGUGUCCCUCCUUAAGCCUCACCAUCCCUCUGUUUCUCCCUCCACAGAACCUGGCAAAGCCGUCAGCGUCUGGUCUUGUUCACAACAAGGUCUUUCAUGUAUGCUAACUCUAAGGACUUACUCUCUCUAUUUAGCUCUCUCCAGCGAUCUCCAGAAGCUCUCCAUCUUCAUCCUGUGUGUUGCACACCCUCCUCCUCCAUCGUCUCUAACCCUCUUCAACGGAUCCAUUCUUCACUGCCUCCUACUCCAUCACUUUACCCAGCACUACCUGCUCCUCUGCUUGUGCCUAAAUAAACUGUCUCUGUUA